rnacentral:lncRNA from 1 species
GACUUGCUCAGCACGCUCAGCGACUUGACGCACACGAGCAGGAGCAUGAGCCAGUGGAUCCUCUUGACGCUGCCGGGCUGCGUCUGCUUGGCGUUGAAGAGCACCCACGCCCACACCACCGCCGCCGCGGCGAAGGUGAAGAAGGCGAACAUGUACAUCGUGGGCAAGGGUUUCUCCCCCGCGCUCAGGUAGUCCUUGUCGCCGUUCGGCAAGGUGUUGUACAGAUCCACGGUGAUCGUGAACGAAACGGCAGAGUUGGGCACGCACUUGGUGUAGUAGAGAGAGUACUCGCCAGCCUUACCCUCGGCGAUGGUGUAGGAGAACUUGUACUCGUCGCCGUCCUUGGAGAGAUGCGACUGCAUGUCCUCGAAGGUGAAGAGCACGAGGGUGUGAUCGAGGUCGUCGAGGAGGCACCCGCCCUUGGCGAUGUCGUUCUCCAGCGCGGUGUCAGCCUUGGACGCGGUGAUGAAGAAUCCGUAGCGGGUCUUGUCGACCGGGUCAGCGCCCUC